GACGAACGCUGGCGGCGUGCUUAACACAUGCAAGUCGAACGGAAAGGCCCUGCUUUUGUUGGGGGCUCGAGUCGCGAACGUGUGAGUAACACGUGAAUAACCUGCCCUUGACUUUGGCAUAACUUCAGGACACUGGGUCUAAUCCCGUAUAGGAGCUCCUGCUGCAUUGUGUGGGUUGGAAAGUUUCGGGGGUUGGGGAUGGACUCGCGGCUAAUCAGCUUGUUGGUCGGGUAGUGGCUUACCAAGGCAUUGACGGGUAGCCUGCCUGAGAAGGGGAACGGGGACAUUGGGACUGAGAUACGGCGCAGAGUCCUACGGGGGGCAACAGUGGGGAAUAUGGCGCAGUGGCGCGAAGCCUGAUGCGGCAGCGUUGGGGUCGGGAACACGUCCUUCGGGUUAUAAACGGCUUUCGCCUGAGACGCAGCCGGAGUGACGGUAAUGGGAAAAGAAGCCCCGGCUAACUACGUG
rnacentral:rRNA from 1 species